rnacentral:rRNA from 1 species
UACAGAGGUCUCAAGCGUUGUUCGGAUUCAUUGGGCGUAAAGGGUGCGUAGGCGGUGAGGUAAGUCGGAUGUGAAAUCCCGGGGCUCAACCCCGGAACUGCAUUCGAUACUGCUUUACUUGAGGACUGGAGAGGAGAUUGGAAUUCACGGUGUAGCAGUGAAAUGCGUAGAUAUCGUGAGGAAGACCAGUGGCGAAGGCGGUUCUCUGGGCCUUACCUGACGCUGAGGAGCGAAAGCGUGGGGAGCGAACAGG